UCUUGAGAGCGGCGUACGGGUGCGGAACACGUGUGCAACCUGCCUUUAUCAGGGGGAUAGCCUUUCGAAAGGAAGAUUAAUACCCCAUAAUAUAUCGAGUGGCAUCACUUGAUAUUGAAAACUCCGGUGGAUAGAGAUGGGCACGCGCAAGAUUAGAUAGUUGGUGAGGUAACGGCUCACCAAGUCUACGAUCUUUAGGGGGCCUGAGAGGGUGAUCCCCCACACUGGUACUGAGACACGGACCAGACUCCUACGGGAGGCAGCAGUGAGGAAUAUUGGACAAUGGGUGCAGAGCCUGAUCCAGCCAUCCCGCGUGAAGGACGACGGCCCUAUGGGUUGUAAACUUCUUUUGUAUAGGGAUAAACCUACUCUCGUGAGAGUAGCUGAAGGUACUAUACGAAUAAGCACCGGCUAACUCCGUGCCAGCAGCCGCGGUAAU
rnacentral:rRNA from 1 species